rnacentral:rRNA from 1 species
CCCGUAAUCGGAAUGAGUACACUUUAAAUCCUUUAACAAGGAUCCAUUGGAGGGCAAGUCUGGUGCCAGCAGCCGCGGUAAUUCCAGCUCCAAUAGCGUAUAUUAAAGUUGUUGCGGUUAAAAAGCUCGUAGUUGGUUCUGCGUGCCGCGCUGUCGGUUCGCCGCCUGUCGGUGUAACUGGCAUGUCGCGGCAUGUCCUGUCGGUGGUGAACGGAGUCCACGACGCUACAUAGGCUUUAUAGUCAAUGUUAGCGUCGUGUGUACUUCCGUUGGCCGAUCUCUCCUACUUCGGUGCUCUUAAACGAGUGUCGAGGUAGGCCGACACGUUCACUUUGAACAAAUUAGAGUGCUUAAAGCAGGCUAAAAUAUCUGCCUGAAUAGUGGUGCAUGGAAUGAUAAAACAGGACCUCGGUUCUAUUUUGUUGGUUUUAGGAAUAUGAGGUAAUGAUCAAUGUGGACUGGCGGGGGCAUUCGUAUUGCGACGUUAGAGGUGAAAUUCUUGGAUCGUCGCAAGACGCACUAGAGCGAAAGCAUUUGCCAAGUAUGUCUUAAUUGAUCAAGAACGAAAGUUAGAGGUUCGAAGGCGAUCAGAUACCGCCCUAGUUCUAACCAUAAACGAUGCCAGCCAGCGAUCCGCCAAUGUUCCUUUAAUGACUCGGCGGGGAGCUUCCACCCGGGAAACCAAAGCUUUUGGGUUC